UACGAAGGGUGCAAGCGUUACUCGGAAUUACUGGGCGUAAAGCGUGCGUAGGUGGUUUGUUAAGUCUGAUGUGAAAGCCCUGGGCUCAACCUGGGAAUUGCAUUGGAUACUGGCAGGCUAGAGUGCGGUAGAGGGUAGUGGAAUUCCCGGUGUAGCAGUGAAAUGCGUAGAGAUGGGGGAGAACACUCGUGGCGAAGGCGGCCAGCUAGACCAGUUCUGACACUGAGGCGCGACAGCGUGGGGAGCAAACAGG
rnacentral:rRNA from 1 species